rnacentral:ncRNA from 3 species
UACGGAGGGGGCUAGCGUUGUUCGGAAUUACUGGGCGUAAAGCGCACGUAGGCGGACUGGAAAGUCAGGGGUGAAAUCCCGGGGCUCAACCCCGGAACUGCCUUUGAAACUCCCGGUCUUGAGGUCGAGAGAGGUGAGUGGAAUUCCGAGUGUAGAGGUGAAAUUCGUAGAUAUUCGGAGGAACACCAGUGGCGAAGGCGGCUCACUGGCUCGAUACUGACGCUGAGGUGCGAAAGCGUGGGGAGCAAACAGG